UACGUAGGGGGCUAGCGUUGUCCGGAUUUAUUGGGCGUAAAGAGCUCGUAGGUGGUUCGGUAAGUCGGAUGUGAAAUCUCCAGGCUCAACCUGGAGGGGUCAUUCGAUACUGCCGUGACUGGAGUUCGGUAGAGGAGUGUGGAAUUCCUGGUGUAGCGGUGAAAUGCGUAGAUAUCAGGAGGAACACCGGUGGCGAAGGCGUCCCUCUGGCCGGAUACUGACGCUGAGACGCGAAAGCGUGGGGAGCGAACAGG
rnacentral:rRNA from 1 species